rnacentral:rRNA from 1 species
GACGAACGCUGGCGGCGUGCUUAACACAUGCAAGUCGAACGAUGAUGCCCAGCUUGCUGGGUGGAUUAGUGGCGGACGGGUGAGUAACACGUGAGUAACCUGCCCCUGACCCUGGGAUAAGCGUUGGAAACGACGUCUAAUACUGGAUAUGACUGCCGGCCGCAUGGUCUGGUGGUGGAAAGAUUUUUUGGUUGGGGAUGGACUCGCGGCCUACCAGCUUGUUGGUGAGGUAAUGGCUCACCAAGGCGACGACGGGUAGCCGGCCUGAGGGGGGAACCGGCCACGCUGGGACUGAGACACGGCCCAGACUCCUACGGGAGGCAGCAGUGGGGAAUAUUGCACAAUGGGCGAAAGCCUGAUGCAGCAACGCCGCGUGAGGGAUGACGGCCUUCGGGUUGUAAACCUCUUUUAGUAGGGAAGAAGCGAAAGUGACGGUACCUGCAGAAAAAGCACCGGCUAACUACGUGCCAGCCGCCGCCGUAA